rnacentral:rRNA from 1 species
AAUCAACGCUGGCGGCGUGCCUCAGACAUGCAAGUCGAACGCGAAAGUCCCCCUCGGGGGACAAGUAGAGUGGCGCACGGGUGAGUAACACGUAGGUAAUCUACCUUCGGGUGGGGAAUAACAAUCGGAAACGGUUGCUAAUACCGCAUAAUGCAGCGGCACCUAAUGGUGACAGUUGUUAAAGCGGGGGAUCGCAAGAUCUCGCGCCUGAAGAGGAGCCUGCGGCGGAUAGCUAGUUGGUAGGGUAAUGGCCUACCAAGGCGACGAUCCGUAGCCGGCCUGAGAGGGCGGUCGGCCACACUGACACUGACAUACGGGUCAGACUCCUACGGGAGGCAGCAGUCGGGAAUUUUGGGCAAUGGGCGAAAGCCUGACCCAGCAACGCCGCGUGAAGGAUGAAAUCCCUCGGGAUGUAAACUUCGCAAGAACGGGAAGAAUAAGUUUGUGCUAAUACCACAAGCGAUGACGGUACUGUUUGUAAGCUCCGGCUAACUCCGUGCCAGCACGCC